AUUGAACGCUGGCGGCAUGCCUUACACAUGCAAGUCGAACGGUAACAGGUCUUCGGAUGCUGACGAGUGGCGAACGGGUGAGUAAUACAUCGGAACGUGCCCGAUCGUGGGGGAUAACGAAGCGAAAGCUUUGCUAAUACCGCAUAAGAUCUACGGAAGAAAGCAGGGGACCGCAAGGCCUUGCGGGAACGGAGCGGCCGAUGGGAGAUUAGGUAGUUGGUGGGAUAAAAGCUUACCAAGCCGACGAUCUGUAGCUGGUCCGAGAGGACGACCAGCCACACUGGGACUGAGACACGGCCCAGACUCCUACGGGAGGCAGCAGUGGGGAAUUUUGGACAAUGGGCGAAAGCCUGAUCCAGCCAUGCCGCGUGCAGGAUGAAGGCCUUCGGGUUGUAAACUGCUUUUGUACGGAACGAAAAGACUCUUUCUAAUAAAGAGGGUCCAUGACGGUACCGUAAGAAUAAGCACCGGCUAACUACGUGCCAGCCGCCGCAGUAA
rnacentral:rRNA from 1 species